rnacentral:rRNA from 1 species
AUUGAACGCUGGCGGCAGGCCUAACACAUGCAAGUCGAACGGUAACAGGAAGAAGCUUGCUUCUUUGCUGACGAGUGGCGGACGGGUGAGUAAUGUCUGGGAAACUGCCUGAUGGAGGGGGAUAACUACUGGAAACGGUUGCUAAUACCGCAUAACGUCGCAAGCCCAAAGAGGGGGACCUUCGGGCCUCUUGCCAUCGGAUGUGCCCAGAUGGGAUUAGCUUGUUGGUGGGGUAACGGCUCACCAAGGCGACGAUCCCUAGCUGGUCUGAGAGGAUGACCAGCCACACUGGAACUGAGACACGGUCCAGACUCCUACGGGAGGCAGCAGUGGGGAAUAUUGCACAAUGGGCGCAAGCCUGGUGCAGCCAUGCCGCGUGUAUGAAGAAGGCCUUCGGGUUGUAAAGUACUUUCAGCGGGGAGGAAGGGAGUAAAGUUAAUACCUUUGCUCAUUGACGUUACCCGCAGAAGAAGCACCGGCUAACUCCGUG